rnacentral:rRNA from 1 species
UACGUAGGGGUCGAGCGUUGUCCGGAUUUACUGGGUGUAAAGGGUGCUCAGGUGGGUUUGUAAGUCAGAGGUGAAAUCCCAAAGCUUAACUUUGGUGCUGCCUUUGAUACUGCAAGUCUGGAGUUUGAGAGAGGGUAAUGGAAUAUCUGGUGUAGCAGUGAAAUGCGUAGAUAUCAGAUAGAACACCAAUGGCGAAGGCAGUUACCUGGCUCAAUACUGACGCUAAAGCACGAAAGUGUGGGGAGCGAACAGG